GAAGAAAUAGCUCAGUGUGGAAAGUGUUAGACUGAAGAUCUAAAGGUCCCUGGUUUGAACCCGGGUUUCGGCA